rnacentral:rRNA from 1 species
UUGGUGGGGUAAUGGCCUACCAAGGCGACGACGGGUAGCCGGCCUGAGAGGGUGACCGGCCACACUGGGACUGAGACACGGCCCAGACUCCUACGGGAGGCAGCAGUGGGGAAUAUUGCACAAUGGGCGCAAGCCUGAUGCAGCGACGCCGCGUGAGGGAUGACGGCCUUCGGGUUGUAAACCUCUUUCGCCAGGGACGAAGCGCAAGUGACGGUACCUGGAUAAGAAGCACCGGCUAACUACGUGCCAGCAGCCGCGGUAAUACGUAGGGUGCGAGCGUUGUCCGGAUUUAUUGGGCGUAAAGAGCUCGUAGGCGGUUUGUCGCGUCGGCCGUGAAAUCUCCACGCUUAACGUGGAGCGUGCGGUCGAUACGGGCAGACUUGAGUUCGGUAGGGGAGACUGGAAUUCCUGGUGUAGCGGUGAAAUGCGCAGAUAUCAGGAGGAACACCGGUGGCGAAGGCGGGUCUCUGGGCCGAUACUGACGCUGAGGAGCGAAAGCGUGGGGAGCGAACAGGAUUAGAUACCCCGGUAGUCCACGCUGUAAACGUUGGGCGCUAGGUGUGGGCGACAUCCACGUUGUCCGUGCCGUA